UGGCACCCGGGCACAUGUGCCGCCGCCUUCGCCCUCCCAAGGGGAGGAGGUGGACUAUCGACCCAACUUCUAUCGAAUACUUAGUGGAAGACCAAAAGAAUGGCGCAGAAAUUGGAGCCUCUCCUUCCCAGUGUCAGAGAUCUGGGUUUAAUCCUGACCUUGGAUGAAAUAUAUUGAAGAAAAACUGUAUGGAUCAUUUACAAUGCAAAGUAAUCAAACUUACCAGGUAAUUUCAAUACAAUGCUAACUUGGUUCAGAUAGAUGCGGAGUUUUUAAAUUCAUCUACAGAAUGGGAAUGGCUGUAUUUAUUAUCCAAACCUUGGAGAUAUUUUGGGAACAUGUUUUGACCUACUAUAAUCUCAUUGGUGGAGGUGCUUUCAAAUUGUUACUGGGUAAUUGAUUAGUUGAUUUUUAUUGUUCGUCCAUUUUAUCGGACAACGACAGUGAGGGAGGGUUUUUAAAGUUGAAAAGCUCUCUUGACUUCAGAGGUACAAGUAGUCAUCACAACUGGUGUCUUCCUUUCUUGCAGUGGAUGACCAUGACAUUUUCUGAGCCUUGUGGUGCCCUUUGCUCUCCAACGUUGUAGAACUAUCUUCCUGACCUUUGGAUCACACUGUCAAUCUCGUCCAUCCAGUUUUCUGAAGCUGACUUCACAUACUAGGGCAGGCAUGUUUCUGUCUCACUGGGGUAUGAGGCCCACUGGCCACCCUCACCUGGUUGAGUCUGCCUGUUGAAGUGCUGUACCUGGGUGUGGCCACUGUUACAUGCAAACUGCAACUCUGAGCCACAGGUGAAAGCUGCGUAUCCAGUGGGGGUCAAAAGUGAUUCAGCUGCCCUGAAUGGACUUGUAAAUCCUCUUCACCAAUGAUGCUAUCCCUCCCUGGACCCCCCUACCCCCCUUGCUGGAUAAUAAAUUCUAGGAUUUAAAUCCAGCAACGAUGAAAGAGUUUUUUUUACAGCAAAACAUCUGAUAAGGUCCCAGGUAUGCAACUAGUCCAUGUGGGACCUUGUCAUCAGCAGAUUGAAUGCAAAACUGGCUUCCUGACAAGAAGGGUAAUUGACAAUGGAUGUUUUUGUGACCGUUACUACUGGGUUCCUGCAUGGGUCAUUCAGCAGGUCGGGCAGCAUCCGUUGAAAUGAACAGUCAACGUUUUGGGCCAAGACCUUUUGUCAGGACUGAAGAAGGAGGGAGCACGGGCCCUAUAAAGAAGGUGGUGGGGAGGGGAAAGGUGCAGGUGAAAAACCAGAGGAAAGAUCAAGAGGAAGCAGGGAGGGGACAGGCAGGAGAGGUGAAGAAGGAAUGUAAGGGGAAAGCACUAUGGGUAGUAGAGGAAGGCAGAAUCAUGAGAGAGGUGAUAAGCAGCUAGAAGAGGAGGCAGAGUGAAAGUGGGAUGGGGGAAGGGAGAGGGAGGGAAUUACCAAGAAAAUUCGAUGUUCAUAGCGUAACAUUGACUGCUCAUUUCAACAGAUGCUGCCGGACCUGCUGAAUUCAUCCAGCUUGUUUGUAUGUGUUGAUUUGACCACAGUAUCUGCAAUGUACUUUGUGUUGGCUCAGUUCUUGCUCCCUUGUUUUAUUUUAACAUAUAUUGAU